AACGAACGCUGGCGGCAUGCUUAACACAUGCAAGUCGAACGAGACGGCCGUGCUUAGUGGCGAACGGGUGCGUAACGCGUUGGAACCUGCGUUUAGGUUCGGAAUAACUCUCCGGGAUGGGUGCUAGUAACGGGGAAUGUUUCCGGACCAAAGGUUUAUCGCCUUUGGAUGGGCCCGCGUUGUAUUAGUUAGGUGGUAGGGUAAAACCCUCCCAAGGCGUCGAUCCAUAGUUGGUCUGCGAGGGUGACCAGCCACACUGGAACUGAGACACGGCCCAGCCUCCUACGGGAGGCAGCAGUGGGGAAUAUUGGACGCUAGGCGAAAGCCUGAUCCAGCAGUGCCGCGUGAGUGAUGAAGGCCUUAGGGUUGUAAAGCUCUUUUACCCGGGAUGAUAAUGACAGUACCGAGAGAAUAAGCACCGGCUAACUCCGUG
rnacentral:rRNA from 1 species